GCAGGAAUGGCAGAACAGGCAGACGCAUCAGAUUUAGGAUCUGAAUUUUGAGCAUUCAAUUCUCUCUUCCUGUACAA
rnacentral:tRNA from 1 species